rnacentral:misc_RNA from 1 species
GAUGAAGAACGCAGCGAAGUGCGAUAAGUAAUGUGAAUUGCAGAAUUCCGUGAAUCAUCGAAUCUUUGAACGCAAAUUGCACUUUCUGGUAUUCCGGAGAGUAUGCCUGUUUGAGGGUCAGUGUAAUAAAAAUAAAUCGUGGUUACCACUUUUCGUGGUGACGCUUCGGAAUUGAGUCGUCUUACCUUCGGUUAAGUGACUUAAAAUUUUUUCAUACGAUUUCGAAACGUAUUUAAUGUAUUAUGUAUGUUCACGAAUAUCGAAUGUUUAUUAGGUGCGGUCAUUUUCAUGAAUUCGCGUCUAUAAUUUUUUUUUUGACCUCAAAUCAGGUAAGAAUACCCGCUGAACUUAAGCAUAUCAAUAAGCGGAGGA